AUUGAACGCUGGCGGCAUGCCUUACACAUGCAAGUCGAACGGCAGCACGGGAGCAAUCCUGGUGGCGAGUGGCGAACGGGUGAGUAAUAUAUCGGAACGUGCCCAAUCGUGGGGGAUAACGCAGCGAAAGCUGUGCUAAUACCGCAUACGAUCUACGGAUGAAAGCGGGGGACUCAGCAAUGGGCCUCGCGCGAAUGGAGCGGCCGAUAUCAGAUUAGCUAGUUGGUGGGGUAAAGGCUCACCAAGGCGACGAUCUGUAGCUGGUCUGAGAGGACGACCAGCCACACUGGAACUGAGACACGGUCCAGACUCCUACGGGAGGCAGCAGUGGGGAAUUUUGGACAAUGGGCGCAAGCCUGAUCCAGCAAUGCCGCGUGCAGGAUGAAGGCCUUCGGGUUGUAAACUGCUUUUGUACGGAACGAAAAGACUCCUUUUAAUAAAGGGGGUUCAUGACGGUACCGUAAGAAUAAGCACCGGCUAA
rnacentral:rRNA from 1 species